ACACUUGCCUGGACUUAGCUCGUGCUUCUGUUGAGUUUGACAUCCUUGGUCUGGGUCCAUUUUGCGUCGAAUUGUUGCUGAACAAGUUCCUCACCGUGCAGAACAUUUGGAGCGUCUUUAACUCGAACUACGAAAUUUUUUUCAUUGCUGUGGCUUGUUUAAAAUUUCUGGCUAUGAAUACCAAGGAUUGCUUGGAAAACGAAAGUUUCUACGACCUUGAUGAAAUGCCAUAUAGGUUUUUCUUGACCCUGAAAGAGAUGGCCGAUGUUUCCGAGAUUGAGCUUGUCUCCAAAAUCCUCCAGAUCAGUGAAAGAAAAACUGAUCCACGAACAUUCUUCCGGAAUUGUUGCCUGCCGAAACUGCGCCUCCUUGCCCUGAAGGCUGAAGAUUUUCCCAACCUUAAGCAGCUUUUCUCCUACCUGUCACAAGAAGAGUUGCGAUACCUCACAAUUUACAACAGUCCUCUCAAACGCUGUUUGAAAACCCUUGCGCCACCGACAAUUUGUUCCGAUGCAUCCGAGAGGAGCACCAAGAGAGCUUGGACACUGACUCUUGUUCCUGAGGGCGACAUACAGAGUCUUAAAGAUAUAUUCAGGGCGGGAAAUUGGUUUGAGCCCAAGGGAAAUCUUGAAUUCUCGCUGGAGCUGCGCUCCAAAAAAAGCGUUAAACUCACUGGAUUUGAGAUUUUCUGCGAGUUGGAUUUGGAAAAGGAAUUUCUGGAA